rfam:Salmo salar isolate Sally breed double haploid chromosome ssa19, whole genome shotgun sequence.
UAGUACCAUUACUGUAAGUUGCUCUGGAUAAGAGCGUCUGCUAAAUAACAACAA